rnacentral:rRNA from 1 species
UACAGGGGGGGCAAGCGUUGUUCGGAAUUACUGGGCGUAAAGGGCUUGUAGGUGGCCAACUAAGUCACACGUGAAAUCCCCAGGCUUAACCUGGGAACUGCGUGUGAUACUGGAUGGCUUGAAUCCGGGAGAGGGAUGCGGAAUUCCAGGUGUAGCGGUGAAAUGCGCAGAUAUCGGGAGGAACGCCGGUGGCGAAGGCGGUUCUCUGGGCCUGACCUGACGCCGAGGAGCGAAAGCGUGGGGAGCGAACAGG